AUACGUAGGUGACAAGCGUUAUCCGGAUUUACUGGGCGUAAAGGGCGUGUAGGCGGUCUUGCAAGUCAGAAGUGAAAUUCCUGAGCUCAACUCGGGCGCUGCUUCUGAAACUGCAGGACUUGAGUGCUGGAGGGGAUAGCGGAAUUCCUAGUGGAGCGGUAAAAUGCGCAGAUAUUAGGAAGAACACCGGUGGCGAAGGCGGCUUUCUGGACAGAAACUGACGCUGAGGCGCGAAAGCGUGGGGAGCAAAAAGGAUAAGAUCCCAUGUUAGUCCACGCCGUAAACGAUGAAUACUAGGUGUAGGGGGUAUCGACUCCCUCUGUGUCGCAGUUAACGCAAUAAGUAUACCGCCUGGGGAGUACGGCCGCAAGGUUGAAACUCAAAGGAAUUGACGGGG
rnacentral:rRNA from 1 species